UGUCGCCUACGGGGGCAGCAGUGGGGAAUAUUGGGCAAUGGGCGCAAGCCUGACCCAGCAACGCCGCGUGAAGGAUGAAGGCUUUCGGGUUGUAAACGUCUUUUCUCAGGGACGAAGCAAGUGACGGUACCUGAGGAAUAAGCCACGGCUAACUACGCGCCAGCAGCCGCGGUAAUACGUAGGUGGCAAGCGUUAUCCGGAUUUACUGGGUGUAAAGGGCGUGUAGGCGGGAAAGCAAGUCAGAUGUGAAAACCAUGGGCUCAACCUGUGGCCUGCAUGUGAAACUGUUUUUCUUGAGUACUGGG
rnacentral:rRNA from 1 species